AGUGAACGCUGGCGGUAGGCCUAACACAUGCAAGUCGAACGGCAGCACAGUAAGAGCUUGCUCUUACGGGUGGCGAGUGGCGGACGGGUGAGGAAUACAUCGGAAUCUACUCUUUCGUGGGGGAUAACGUAGGGAAACUUACGCUAAUACCGCAUAUGACCUACGGGUGAAAGCAGGGGAUCUUCGGACCUUGCGCGAUUGAAUGAGCCGAUGUCGGAUUAGCUAGUUGGCGGGGUAAAGGCCCACCAAGGCGACGAUCCGUAGCUGGUCUGAGAGGAUGGUACGCCACCCUAGAACGGGAACCCCGUCCCGGCCACUGCGGGAGGCAGCAGUGGGGAAUAUUGGACAAUGGGCGCAAGCCUGAUCCAGCCAUACCGCGUGGGUGAAGAAGGCCUUCGGGUUGUGAAGCCCUUUUGUUGGGAAAGAAAAGCAGCAGGUUAAUACCCCGCUGUUCUGACGGUACCCAAAGAAUAAGCACCGGCUAACUUCGUG
rnacentral:rRNA from 1 species